rnacentral:rRNA from 1 species
AAGUGGCGGACGAGCGAGUAAUACACAAGAACUUACCCCGUACUCAGGGAUAACAUGCCGAAAGGUGUGCUAAUACCGGAUGGUCUCGCAAGAGUAAAGCUCAGGCGGUACGGGAGAGGCUUGUGGCCUAUCAGCUAGUUGGUGAGGUAAAGGCUUACCAAGGCUAUGACGGGUACCUGGUGUGAGAGCACGACCAGGCGCGAUGGGACUGAGACACGGUCCAGACUCC